rnacentral:rRNA from 1 species
AUUGAACGCUGGCGGCGAUGCCUUACACGAUGCAAGUCGAACGGCAGCACGGGAGCAAUCCUGGUGGCGAGGUGGCGAACGGGUGAGUAAUAUAUCGGAACGUGCCCAGUCUGGGGGAUAACGUAGCGAAAGCUACGCUAAUACCGCAUACGAUCUAUGGAUGAAAGCGGGGGACUCGCAAGAGCCUCGCGCGAUUGGAGCGGCCGAUAUCAGAUUAGGUAGUUGGUGGGGUAAAGGCUCACCAAGCCAACGAUCUGUAGCUGGUCUGAGAGGACGACCAGCCACACUGGAACUGAGACACGGUCCAGACUCCUACGGGAGGCAGCAGUGGGGGAAUUUUGGACAAUGGACGCAAGUCUGAUCCAGCCAUUCCGCGUGCAGGAUGAAGGCCCUCGGGUUGUAAACUGCUUUUGUACGGAACGAAAAGGUUUCUAUUAAUACUAGGAGCUCAUGACGGUACCGUAAGAAUAAGCACCGGCUAACUACGUG